UUGAUCAUGGUUCAGAUUGGACGUCAAAAGAUGCUUUACACAUGCAAGUCGAACGGCAUAAUGGACUUCGUCUGGUGGCGAGGGCGAACGGGUGAGUAAUGUAUCGGAAACGUGCCAGUAGUGAUGUCUCACGCGAAAGCGUAGCUACUGGCCGUACGACCCUUCGGGAAAGCGGGGACCUUCGGGCCUCGCACUAUUAGAGCGGCCGAUAUCGGAUUAGCUAGUUGUGGGGUAACGGCUCAACAAGGCAAAGAUGAUCCGUAGCUGGUUUGAGAGGACGACCAGCCACACUGGACCGAGACACGGCCCAGACUCCGCAUGGAGGCAGCAGUGGGGAAUUUUGAGACAAUGGGGAAACUCUGAUUCCAGCUAUCCUGCGUGUGCGAUGAAGGCCUGUCAGAAGCACCUUUGAGCAGGAAGAAACGGUACGGAUAAUACCCCAGGCAACUGACGGUACCUGCAGAAUAAGCACCGGCUAACUACGUGCCAGCAGCCGCGGUAAUACGUAGAUGCAAGACCGAAUUACUGGCGUAAAGCGUGCGCAGGUUAGUUCGGAAAGAAAGAAGGAAUCCCAGAGCUUAACUUUGAACUGCAUUUUUAACUACCGAGCUAGAGUGUGUCGGGAGAGCAGGAAUUCCGCGUGUAGCAGGAAAGUCGCGUAGAUAUGGAGGAACACCGACGGCGUAGCGGCAGCCUCCGGAUAACACUGAUGCUCAUGCACGAAAGCGUGGGAGCAAACAGGAUUAGAUACCCUGGUAGUCCACGCCCUAAACGAUGUCAAUCUGAAGGUUGGGGCCUUCGCCUUGGUGGAAGUGCAGCUAACGCGUGAAGUUGGACCGCCUGGGGAGCAUGGCUGCAAGAUUAAAACUCGUGAAUUGACGGGGACUCUGCGCAAGCGGUGGAUGAUGUGGAUUAAUUCGAUGCAACGCGAAAAACCUUACCUACCCUGAUAUGCUCAAUCCCCGAAGAGAUUUGGGAGUGCUCGCAAGAACUUCAAACACAGGUGCCGCAUGGCUGUCAGCUCGUGCCGUGAGAUGUUGGGUUAAGUCCCGCACGAGCGCAACCCUUGUCAUUAGUUGCUACGAAAGGGCACUCUAAUGAGACUGCCGUGACAAACCGGAUAGUCGUGGUGGGGAUGACGUCAAGUCCUCGCGGCCCUUAUGGUAGGCUUCACACGUCAUACAAGGUCGGGACAGAGGGUCGCCAACCCGCGUAGGGGAGCCAAUCCCAGAAACCCGAUCGGUCCGGAUCGUAGUCUGCAACUCGACUGCGUGAAGUCGGAAUCGCUAGUAAUCGCGGAUCAGCAUGUCGCAGAAAUACGUUCCCGGCCCUACACACCGCCCGUCACACCAUGGGAGUGGGUUUUACCAGCAUGAAGUUAGGCCUAACCGUAAGGAGGGCGAUUACCACGGGAUUCGCGACUGGGGUGAAGUCGUAAUACAGUAA
rnacentral:rRNA from 1 species